rnacentral:rRNA from 1 species
CCGGGUAGAGUAACACGUGGGUUACCUGCCCCGAUGAUUGGGACAACCCGAGGAAACUCGGGCUAAUACCAAAUGUGCCCUCCGGUCAUAAGACCGCUGGGGAAAGGAAGCUUCGGCCUCCGCAUCGGGAUGGGCCCGCGGCCCAUUAGCUUGUUGGUGAGGUAACGGCUCACCAAGGCGACGAUGGGUAGCUGGUCUGAGAGGACGAUCAGCCACACUGGGACUGAGACACGGCCCAG